rnacentral:rRNA from 1 species
CCUACGGGUGGCAGCAGUGGGGGAUAUUGGACAAUGGGGGGAACCCUGAUCCAGCCAUGCCGCGUGUGUGAAGAAGGCCCUCGGGUUGUAAAGCACUUUCAGUGAGGAAGAACGCCUGGUGGUUAAUACCCAUCAGGAAAGACAUCACUCACAGAAGAAGCACCGGCUAACUCCGUGCCAGCAGCCGCGGUAAUACGGAGGGUGCGAGCGUUAAUCGGAAUUACUGGGCGUAAAGCGCGCGUAGGUGGCUUGAUAAGCCGGUUGUGAAAGCCCCGGGCUCAACCUGGGAACGGCAUCCGGAACUGUCAAGCUAGAGUGCAGGAGAGGAAGGUAGAAUUCCCGGUGUAGCGGUGAAAUGCGUAGAGCUCGGGAGGAAUACCAGUGGCGAAGGCGGCCUUCUGGACUGACACUGACACUGAGGUGCGAAAGCGUGGGUAGCAAACAGGAUUAGAUACCCGUGUAGUC